UAGAACGUGGAAUAGAGACAGUUAUCGGAAGAGAGCUUACCUUUUUAUUCCUAGUUUACAGUUAUCAGAAGAGAGUAAAUUCGUUGCCUUUUCUUUCUUUAGUCUAAGUUUAUCUCUUAGUUUCUCUACUGCAAAGUCUGCGAUGGUUUGAGGACAUCCUCACGUCGCAUAAUGGAAUCAAACUCUCCAGGGUUGGAUGGUUUUUUCCUUCUCUUUUUUAGAGUAAUUUUUUGGAUUUCUUCUCGCAGUUAUUAUGAAAAUAAGAGAUUGAUAAGGAACUUCCCUUCCCCAGUCCCCCCAAAUAACAAUAACAAAUUAGGCUUCUUCAUUUUCAGACUCUCUUGGGAUCGGCAGACAGAGGGUUGUUGCAUUGAAACCUCGCCGUUUGGCUUCUCCGCUCUUAUGAAAUUUUAUCUCUUUCCUACAGCCAGUUCGUGAGGGCUCUUUUCAAAUUGAGGUUUUGGUUCCAGGUUAAUGGCGAGAAUUAUUCAAGUAUGCCACAUGAUUUCCCGUGAAUUUUUUUCCCUGAUAAUUGUGUUUGAGUGAUUGAAUGUGCACAUGUGAGUUCUUAGGUUUGGGCCCGUAUUUAUCGGGAGAAGAAAAACAUAAAGUGGAGAACAUAAUAACCCUAGCAUGACUAUAUAUGAAAUAAAUUAAAACUAUUAAAAACUCAUAUUUUUGGUGUAUUGUUAGGAAGAAACACCUAAACUACGAAUCUGUAUGGAAUAGAUUCAUUAUAUGAUAGAUUAAUUGUAUGGGUUUGCUUUUAGUACUAAAUCUUUUGGUUAAGUUUCAUUUUUGCUGACUUUUAAUUUUUUACUUGCCUUGGCGGGACUUUUAAUUAAGUAUGUAUCUUUGGUGUAAUACAAUCAUAUUCUUGAGGUUUGGAUUUUUGUUCUCCUAUGUUUCUUCCCAUUAUUUGUUUGAGCAUGUAUCUUUAAUGUAAUUACGAAUUUGUUGUUAAUCUCCCUCUUUAGAUCUUUGGUGUAAAUACUUUAGAUCUCUUUGAUGUCUUUUCGGGUUCUUUUCUCUUCAGGUUACUAUUACUUCUUUGCCCUACAAGUCAUAGCUUGGCUAACAAUUGAGAACAACGUCUGAUAUAGUUUCGUUUUUUUUUUUUUUUUAUCAAAAUGUUCGAAUUAGUUUAACGCUUCUCAUUUUGAUAAUUGCCUUGCCCUUGGUUUGAUAGCAUUUGGGUUUAAGCGUUGAUAGAAAGUAUCUCAUUCCAAUCAUCAAGUCAUCUUUUUACUUUGAUUCUGUUAAUUUUUGUCUAUGUACACAAAAAUAUGCAGAUUUUGCUUUCUAAUUUGAAUUUGCUACAAAUUGAGAGGCUUAAGGACAAUCUCUGUUCAGAGAAAAAUAAGUUGGACAAAGAGAGGGCAUGUAUAUGGAACAUGAUUGGUUGCUAUAUUACUUUGGGACGAGUUUUGAUAUUUUUAGAGAUUAAUGAGUUUGUGGAGAUUUUGCUUUUCACAUCUUACUUUGUUUUGAACUUAUUCAUUAGAACUGAACUUGAACUUUUAAAUUGUAAGACUUUAAGACACAACGGUUGAGAUUAGAGAGGUUCAAGUAUAUAUAUCAAGAACCUAGGCAUUGCAAGUCUAUAAAUUCCAAUUUGUAUUACUGCUAACCUGUAUAUACCAUAUGUAAUUAGGAAUUAACUAAGUACAAACUACAUGAGAAUGGAGAAAGCGAUAUAAUAGGAAGAGCCAAAAAAUACUUGGAGACAAUCAAAUACUGGACAAAUUUGUGACCAGUUGACGAGCACAUGACUCUUUAUUUUACCUUUUUUUCUUUGGUAAAGCUAUAUGUUUUAAUUUACUCAUUUUAUUGUUGGAUUCAAAAGAAUAGAAGACUGCCUUCUGUCAAGCAGUUUUUGACUUUUCUGCAAUCUUUUAUAUAGUUUUUCUCUUUAUUUUUUCACAAUAGAUAGAUAGGUGUGCGUAGCGUCUGUGAUAAAAAGAAAGGCCUCUCGCAUGCGCGUGAGCACGUGCGGAGAUGCUAGUAUCGUAUAAAUAAGUGUUUGCUCAUAUUUAAAAAAUACAUAUUUUCAUUUAGAAUUAUAAAUUAAUCAAAAUUUAACAUUAAAUAAUGUUUUUUUUAGGUGAGAGUUUUAGGGGGGUAUAUUCAAUUAGAAUUCUCAGAAAGUUUCAGGGAAUUAAUAAUUUCAGGGGUAUUCAAUUAGGAAUUUAAAAGAUUUUAUAAAAAUCUUGGUGUAUUCGAUUGAGAUUCUUAAAGACUUCUUACAAUUCCCUAUAAAUUUAGGUGUAUUCAAUCAUAACUUUUUGAAAGUCUCUAAAAAUUUAGGUGUAUUGAAAAAGGAAUUGGAUUUGAGCGGAUUUGUGAUUUGGUGGAUUUUGGAGGAUUUCAAGGUGAUAUGUAUAAAUACCAAAGAGCUUGGCAAAUCUCACCUCAACCCUAGAAACUUUGAGAGAUUUUGAGUGUGCUGCUCUCUCCUCCAGAGAGCGUCUUCUCUAGUCUCUCCGAGCGAAGGAUUGUGUUGGAGCUAUUGAUGGAACACAUAUACCAGCAAUGGUAUCAGGACCCGAAGUAGCUAGCUAUCGUGAUCGUCAUGGUAAAAUAAUCACAAAAUGUAUUAGCUGCUUGUAACUUUGAUUUGGAAUUCAUAUAUAUUCUUAGCGGAUGGGAGGGUUUAGCUCAUGACUCCAAACUGUUACAUGAUGCUGUAUCAAGGAGGAACGGACUUAAAGUGCCAGAAGGUAAAUUUUUUCUAGUGGAUUGUGGAUUUGCAAAUCGUCGUCAAUUUUUAACUCCGUUUCGAGGUGUUCGAUAUCAUCUCCAAGAUUUUGCUGGUGACGAUCGUGACCCCGUAAAUGCGAAUGAGUUGUUCAAUCUUCUACAUGCUUCCUUGAGAAACGUAGUGGAGAGGAUAUUUGGUGUAUUUAAAUCUCGAUUUACAAUUUUUAAGUCCGCACCUCCAUUUCCAAUUAAAACACAAGCAAAGUUAGUGUUAGCUUUUGCAGGGUUGCACAACUUUCUUCGCAAAGAGUGCCGUUCUGAUGAAUUUCCAAUCGAACAAGAAGAUGAUGAAUUUGAAGAUGAAGAAAAUGAUGGUGAACUAGGUAAUCAAACUCAAGAGCAACAACGACAGAUUGCUAAUGCAUGGAGAGCUGGCAUAGCUACAAAUAUGUGGACAGAUGCUAUGAGUGAUAGCAUUCAAAGAUGAGAAAUAUAAUUAAUUAUUUUUACGGAUUGGAGUAUGCAAUUUGUGUUUGAAAAACUUUGAUAGCUAGUUUAUUUUGUAAGCCUUAACUUUCAAGAUUUUGGAUGCCAAUGUUUAAUUUCACUUUGA